rnacentral:rRNA from 1 species
AAUAUUGCACAAUGGGCGAAAGCCUGAUGCAGCGACGCCGCGUGAGGGAUGACGGCCUUCGGGUUGUAAACCUCUUUCAGCAGGGACGAAGCGCAAGUGACGGUACCUGCAGAAGAAGCACCGGCUAACUACGUGCCAGCAGCCGCGGUAAAACGUAGGAGACAAACGUUAUCCGGAGUUACUGGGCGUAAAGGGCGUGUAGGUGGUUGCGUAAGUCUGGCGUGAAAUAUCUCGGCUUAACCGAGGCAGGUCGUCGGAUACUGCGUAACUGGAGGACGGUAGAGGCGUGUGGAAUUCCGGGUGUAGUGGUGAAAUGCGUAGAGAUCCGGAGGAACACCAGUGGCGAAGGCGACACGCUGGGCCGUACCUGACACUGAUGCGCGACAGCAUGGGGAGCAAAC